ensembl:lncRNA
UGAAGCUGGUUCAGGCUGGGUGUUAGGAGAAGGAUCUUCACUGAGAAGGUGGUUGGGCACUGGGACAGGCUCCCCAUGGCAGUGGUCAUGGCACCGAGCCUGCUGGAGUUCAAGAAACAUCUGGAAAACGCUCUCACACGUGUUUGUUUGUUUGUUUGUUUUGUUUUGUUUUGUUUUUGUUUGUUUGUUGGUGAUCCUGUGCAAAGCUAGGAUUCAGUAAUCCUUGUGGAUCCUUUCCAACUUGGGAUAUGCUAUGAUUCUAUAAUACUGUGAUUCAAUAAUCUUUAACAAAAGAGAAUGUAUUUUGUUUCUGUUAUGUCCAGAGUUACUUUCUAUGUUAUACCAGAAAAACAUACUGUUCUUAAUACAUAAUAACUCACCACUAGGAUCACCAUAUUCAGUAAGAAGGUCUACUCUGCCAAGAUGGCAUCAUUAAACUUCUUUUCAAAUUCCUGGAAGACCUCACACAAAUCUAGGAAGCCUCUAAGGAUGUCUAGCAUAUAGUCAUAUAAUAUAACUGCAGUGUAGUGAGAAUGAAACAUCCUAACAGCAGGGGUGCCAUGUUUUAUAUUCUGUCUGACCCUAUAGCUUUGACUAAACUGUUGUUCCAAGUACUUUGUGUUUAUGUGAUCAGUUCAUUACCCAAUUCUGAUCUGCAAGGAUUAAAUUACUGCCAUCUGAGUACUUGUUAGAGACUGUGGCGUGAGUUAAUAGAAAAGUGAAUUAGACUGAUGGGCAGGUGCUCCUUAUUGAACUGCAACUAAUCUGUUGAUUCUCUUUAGCAGAGAGAAGUCAGCAUGGAAGCCAAUCCCAUAGUAUCAGCAUGCUAUCAAGUCACGUCUGUGUUAGGGCAAGUCACUCCACCAUCCCUUUUACAGUGUCUUGCAUUCAUAUGAAGGACAACACCCUGAUCCCCAGGGCUACAGAAACUGGUCAGAUAUGGGGUAGAGUCAGAAGAGUAGGUUUCCUGCUCUGCACCAGUCUUGCCAUUUGUCAACUGCAAGGCUGCUCAAAGGGACCUGUUACAGCUGUGAACAAAGCAUGCCUUGAUUUGCCUAAUAUUCCCUUUUUCCCUUCUCCCACAUUGAGCACAAACUCAUUUUACUCUUUUGCCGAUAGCUCUGGAUUUGCUGAUUUUACACCAUCAUUUGCAGUCUGUCACAUUUUUUCCUUGGUGGUUUGACCUCAGGCUCAGGCUCACCAUCUACCUGUGUACCUGAAUUUUCCCAUGCUUGUAUAUUUUACCUCAAGUGGUAAUACUAUGAUAGUGACUGCAGCCUGGCAGCCUGGGCAGAUGAAGAAAAUGUUGAUCUCAGAACUGAAGAAUGGCUCUUUCAGCUGUCCUGUUACUGGAAGGUAAUAAGCAUUUCUCAUUUAGAUUGUUCAGAAAAGGAACAGAUACCUUUCAGUGUAUGGUCCACAGUUGUGUUCUUUGCUGCCUUCUCCCUCUUGGUACAUACACACUUGAUUGCUAAAGAUUACUGCAUUGUAAAUUAGAAGAAUUAAGAAGCUGAGGGAGUUAGUUACUGCUGUAAUGAUGGAGGGGUCUGUUGCAUUUCAGUUUUAUAUACCUAGGAUAGUGAAAGCUCAUCUUUCUCCCAGUCCUUUGUGUGUCCUGUAGAAAUGCUGGAAUUACAGCAGUGAACCAAACCUAAGAUCCACCCAGUUCACUGUCUUGUGUGUCUAAAAGUUUCAGAUAACAGAUGCUUCAGAGAAAUGUGCUGACUGAGAUGAAUAUGAUGAAUGUCUUCAGAUAUUUUCAAGCCUUACACCUGAAAACCUCUUUCCAGACUAUAGAUGACCAUUUCUGCAUGCUUCUCACUGUUAGACCCCUUUUUGCUACUUCACAUGUUUCUGGGAUGGGCACACUAGAGCUGACAGAAGUAUCCCAUGAACUGGCCAAUGCAUUAUCAUGUAUAGAGAGAAUAUUUUCUUAAUUUUUCUUGAUAUGCAUCUAUGAACAGCAUCACUUGAGGGUUUGGUAUUUCAGUCAGUCUUUUCAUGGUACACGUAGCAGAACAUUAACUAAAAUUCCUAACAAAUCCUAGCUUUGAGGUUUGUAAUAAUCUUCAUGUUUGUCUCUGAACUUGUAGUUCAUCAGUGUCCUGAAGUCGUUCUUGCACCUAUUUUUCACAGCAGUUCUAUCCUGGAUGUAUGCCUUAACUGAACUGUCCACAGCAACAACUUUCUUCUUCUACUAGCAGGAAAAGCCAGGAGGAAAAAUAAAAUAAAAUAAAAAAAAAAACUCUGAAGAAAA